rnacentral:rRNA from 1 species
CGGCGGACGGGUGAGUGAUGUCUGGGAAACUGCCCGAUGGAGGGGGAUAACUACUGGAAACGGUAGCUAAUACCGCAUAACGUCGCAAGACCAAAGAGGGGGACCUUCGGGCCUCUUGCCAUCGGAUGUGCCCAGAUGGGAUUAGCUAGUAGGUGGGGUAACGGCUCACCUAGGCGACGAUCCCUAGCUGGUCUGAGAGGAUGACCAGCCACACUGGAACUGAGACACGGUCCAG